AACUGGGAGCCAAUGAAAGACCCCCAGAGUGGGGAGACCCUCACUCAAGUCUCGGGAUAAGCCAACGCCCCAAUAAUUCAAGAGAGACC
rnacentral:pre_miRNA from 11 species